GGAGGCUGUUGAAGGGAUCCGAUUUCUUGGCACACGCGCACUGGAGAAAAGCCUGCUACAGGGUCCUGAAAAGGCCUGAGUUUUGUGUGCACACAUCCAGCAGUGUGGAAUGGCAAAGUCUAGCUCUCGUCUGGCUCCCUCCACCAUUCCAUGCAUCAGUUUCCUUUCAACACUGACCUCCAAGCUUGUCUCACUGUAUUUUCUCAGAGAAUGAUUUCUUGGGACUUCAUGAGGAGCAAGGCCUAGAGAGACCAGCAGUGAAGAGCACUAGCUGCUCUCCCAGAGAUCCUGAGUUCAAUUCCCAGCAACCACAUGGAGGCUCACAACCUACACAAUUGUAGUCCCAUGAAUUCCUAUGUCUUCUUCUGGUGUGCAGUGUACAUGCAGACAAGACAUCUGCAUAAAUAAAUGAAUCUUUAAAAACCAAGAAGCAGGAGGAGGAGGAGGAAGAGGAAGAGGAAGAGGAAGAGGAAGAGGAGAAGGAAGAGAAACAGCUCUUUGCAUGUUUGCCUCAGAACUCAGCACUGUAGCAAAUUAAAGCUGUUUGGGGGUUUGUUUGUUUGUUUGUUUGUUUG
rnacentral:lncRNA from 1 species